AAAUUGAAGAGUUUGAUCAUGGCUCAGAUUGAACGCUGGCGGCAGGCCUAACACAUGCAAGUCGAACGGUAACAGGAAGCAGCUUGCUGCUUUGCUGACGAGUGGCGGACGGGUGAGUAAUGUCUGGGAAACUGCCUGAUGGAGGGGGAUAACUACUGGAAACGGUGGCUAAUACCGCAUAACGUCGCAAGACCAAAGAGGGGGACCUUCGGGCCUCUUACCAUCAGAUGUGCCCAGAUGGGAUUAGCUAGUUGGUGAGGUAACGGCUCACCAAGGCGACGAUCCCUAGCUGGUCUGAGAGGAUGACCAGCCACACUGGAACUGAGACACGGUCCAGACUCCUACGGGAGGCAGCAGUGGGGAAUAUUGCACAAUGGGCGCAAGCCUGAUGCAGCCAUGCCGCGUGUAUGAAGAAGGCCUUCGGGUUGUAAAGUACUUUCAGCGGGGAGGAAGGUGUUGUGGUUAAUAACCGCAGCAAUUGACGUUACCCGCAGAAGAAGCACCGGCUAACUCCGUGCCAGCAGCCGCGGUAAUACGGAGGGUGCAAGCGUUAAUCGGAAUUACUGGGCGUAAAGCGCACGCAGGCGGUCUGUCAAGUCGGAUGUGAAAUCCCCGGGCUCAACCUGGGAACUGCAUUCGAAACUGGCAGGCUUGAGUCUUGUAGAGGGGGGUAGAAUUCCAGGUGUAGCGGUGAAAUGCGUAGAGAUCUGGAGGAAUACCGGUGGCGAAGGCGGCCCCCUGGACAAAGACUGACGCUCAGGUGCGAAAGCGUGGGGAGCAAACAGGAUUAGAUACCCUGGUAGUCCACGCCGUAAACGAUGUCUACUUGGAGGUUGUGCCCUUGAGGCGUGGCUUCCGGAGCUAACGCGUUAAGUAGACCGCCUGGGGAGUACGGCCGCAAGGUUAAAACUCAAAUGAAUUGACGGGGGCCCGCACAAGCGGUGGAGCAUGUGGUUUAAUUCGAUGCAACGCGAAGAACCUUAC
rnacentral:rRNA from 1 species